rnacentral:rRNA from 1 species
AUUGAACGCUGGCGGAAUGCUUUACACAUGCAAGUCGAGCGGCAGCGCGGUCUUCGGACUGGCGGCGAGCGGCGAACGGGUGAGUAAUACAUCGGAACAUGCCCAGUCGGGGGGGAUAACACUUCGAAAGAAGUGCUAAUACCGCAUACGUCCUGAGGGAGAAAGCGGGGGAUCGGAAGCCCUCGCGCGAUUGGAGUGGCCGAUGUCAGAUUAGCUAGUUGGUGGGGUAAAGGCCUACCAAGGCAACGAUCUGUAGCUGGUCUGAGAGGAUGAUCAGCCACACUGGGACUGAGACACGGCCCAGACUCCUACGGGAGGCAGCAGUGGGGAAUAUUGGACAAUGGGCGCAAGCCUGAUCCAGCGACGCCGCGUGGGUGAAGAAGGCCUGCGGGUUGUAAAGCCCUUUCGGUUGGGAAGAAAAGUAUUGACCUAACACGUCAGUACCUUGACGUAACCAACAAAAGAAGCACCGGCUAACUCUGUGCCAGCAGCCGCCGUAAGAC